rnacentral:rRNA from 1 species
AGGUAAGCUACUAAGAGCGAAUGGUGGAUGCCUUGACUGGUAAAGGCGAUGAAGGACGUACUAGACUGCGAUAAGCUACGGGGAGCUGUCAAGAAGCUUUGAUCCGUAGAUUUCCGAAUGGGGCAACCCAAUGUAUAGAGAUAUACAUUACCUAUAUAGGAGCGAACGAGGGGAAUUGAAACAUCUUAGUACCCUCAGGAAAAGAAAUCAAUAGAGAUUGCGUCAGUAGCGGCGAGCGAAAGCGCAAGAGGGCAAACCCAGUGCUUGCACUGGGGGUUGUAGGACUGCAAUGUGCAAGAGGUAAGUUUAGCAGAACAUUCUGGAAAGUAUAGCCAUAGAGGGUGAUAGUCCCGUAUGCGAAAAACAAACCUUAGCUAGCAGUAUCCUGAGUAGGGCGGGACACGAGGAAUCCUGUCUGAAUCCGGGUCGACCACGAUCCAACCCUAAAUACUAAUACCAGAUCGAUAGUGCACAAGUACCGUGAGGGAAAGGUGAAAAGAACUGAGGUGAUCAGAGUGAAAUAGAACCUGAAACCAUUUGCUUACAAUCAUUCAGAGCCCUAUGUAGCAAUACAGGGUGAUGGACUGCCUUUUGCAUAAUGAGCCUGCGAGUUGUGGUGUCUGGCAAGGUUAAGCAAACGCGAAGCCGUAGCGAAAGCGAGUCUGAAUAGGGCGCUUAGUCAGAUGCUGCAGACCCGAAACGAAGUGAUCUAUCCAUGAGCAAGUUGAAGCUAGUGUAAGAACUAGUGGAGGACUGAACCCAUAGGCGUUGAAAAGCCCCGGGAUGACUUGUGGAUAGGGGUGAAAGGCCAAUCAAACUUCGUGAUAGCUGGUUCUCUCCGAAAUAUAUUUAGGUAUAGCGUUGUGUCGUAAUAUAAGGGGGUAGAGCACUGAAUGGGCUAGGGCAUACACCAAUGUACCAAACCCUAUCAAACUCCGAAUACCUUAUAUGUAAUCACAGCAGUCAGGCGGCGAGUGAUAAAAUCCGUCGUCAAGAGGGAAACAACCCAGACUACCAGCUAAGGUCCCUAAAUCUUACUUAAGUGGAAAACGAUGUGAAGUUACUUAAACAACCAGGAGGUUGGCUUAGAAGCAGCCAUCCUUUAAAGAAAGCGUAAUAGCUCACUGGUCUAGUGAUUUUGCGCGGAAAAUAUAACGGGGCUAAAGUAAGUACCGAAGCUGUAGACUUGCACACAACUUAGAUUAUUUAAGUUUAGAAUAUUAAGAAACUAAGUUAUAUGUUUUAGUUAUAUUUUUACUGAUUUUUAUAGGGUAAAGAUAGAAAUAAAACUUAGUAAAAUCAGUAAAAAUAUUCUUAGGCUAAAGUUAAGUAGUUUAAGUUGUGUGCAAGUGGUAGGAGAGCGUUCUAUUUGCGCCGAAGGUAUACCGGUAAGGAGUGCUGGAGCGAAUAGAAGUGAGCAUGCAGGCAUGAGUAGCGAUAAUUAAUGUGAGAAUCAUUAACGCCGUAAACCCAAGGUUUCCUACGCGAUGCUCGUCAUCGUAGGGUUAGUCGGGUCCUAAGCCGAGUCCGAAAGGGGUAGGCGAUGGCAAAUUGGUUAAUAUUCCAAUACCAACAUUAGUGUGCGAUGGAAGGACGCUUAGGGCUAAGGGGGCUAGCGGAUGGAAGU